AACGCACGAGACCUGCGGACCUGCGAAGGAUCAUUAGUGAACGCCCUCACGGGCUUAUAACUAUUCCAAACCUCUGUGAACCGUGCCCUUCGGGGCUAUUUUACAAACAUGGUGUAAUGAACGUCAUAUAUCAUAACAAAACAAAACUUUUAGCAAUGGAUCUCU
rnacentral:misc_RNA from 1 species